UUGGGGAUCGUCUAAUUGGUAGGACAUCAGACUUUGAAUCUGAAAAUCUAGGUUCGAGACCUAGCCCCCAAGCCA
rnacentral:tRNA from 1 species